CCUACGGGAGGCUGCAGUGAGGAAUAUUGGUCAAUGGGCGAGAGCCUGAACCAGCCAAGUCGCGUGAAGGAUGACGGCCCUACGGGUUGUAAACUUCUUUUGUCAGGGAGCAAUUGAGUCCACGUGUGGGCUUAGCGAGAGUACCUGAAGAAAAAGCAUCGGCUAACUCCGUGCCAGCAGCCGCGGUAAUACGGAGGAUGCGAGCGUUAUCCGGAUUUAUGGGGUUUAAAGGGUGCGUAGGCGGAAUAUCAAGUCAGCGGUAAAAAUCCGGGGCUCAACCCCGUCGUGCCGUUGAAACUGAUGUUCUUGAGUGGGCGAGAAGUAUGCGGAAUGCGUGGUGUAGCGGUGAAAUGCAUAGAUAUCGCGCAGAACUCCGAUUGCGAAGGCAGCAUACCGGCGCCCAACUGACGCUGAAGCACGAAAGCGUGGGUAUCGAACAGGAUUAGAUACCCCGGUAGUC
rnacentral:rRNA from 1 species